UGGCACAUGUGCCUUUACAUACAUACAUACAUGUGCACACAUAAUAAGUUAAAAAACAAGUUCCGAUUAGGAUUAGGACCACCAUGUCAAUUAUUCAGCAAGUUUAUAUGAUAGCCAAGUACUUAGUAUCCAGGCCAAGAGAUAUGGAAGCUAGUGCAGUUCCUGUUUUCCCAGGGCCAUAGUGAUCAAACAAUGACAGCUAUAGAUUCUGAUAUGUGUCACAGGAGAACUGCAGGGUACCAUGGAGUUGGCGAAUAGAAAGACCACCCAAUCACAGGUUCCAGGACAAUCUGUUACUCUAAGAGCUGAAUGAAAAGUAGAUCUACCCACAUGUAGAGAUGAGGGAAGACUAUCUCGUAUGCCAGAACAUGGUAUGGUGAGGUGAGAAAGUUUCCUUGGCAGGCUCAUGCUGAGACAUCCCUUCCCGCUGAUGUACCAACCAUAUGACAGAUCUGGAAUUGAAGUCAGAGCGUUCGUGAUCCAGUACCUGCAGCCCUGGUGGGAAGACAUUGCUUGCUAUCUGUGGAGUCUCUUUAUCAGCGUGGCUCUGGCUCUAUCCCAGGAGUGUGACUUGAAUCACUAUCACCAGAAUAACCUUCUUCAUGUAAUAAAAACCCAGCUUGCUCAGACUUCAUGUGAGUCUCCGAACAACUGGAGUGAGGCU